AAGUUUAAAGCUAUACAAUAAUACAGUACCCCUUUGGCAUGAUAUGUAACCCCUCUAGUGAAUUGUGCCAAUGUAUUGUGCAGUACUGUGCAGACUGGCCUGUUUUUUCCAUCAUGUGAUGGGAUUUCCCCAUUGUGCAAUGGGAUCCACAGUAGAAAAGAACUGAGUCCCUUUGCGGAGAGAGGGCGGGUUAUAUGUAAAAUGUUUUUGUUGUUGUUUUUGUUGUUGUUAUGAAAAGGCCAUGUAGUUUGCAUUUAUCGUUCAGUAGUACUGAUGGCAUAGCUACAUUUCCUCACACCCCCUUGGAAUAUUGUACAGUAUCAUAAACUAACAUAAGUAAUUAAUGAUAAUGUAGGAUUACAACAAGAUGACACCCAUAGUUUGAGCAACUUGCAGCAGGAGCAAGACACAAGGGCCAUAUCUAUGUGCAAACUGGAAUUGGAUAAGAAAAGCCAGAUAUCUUUACUGCUUUCAUUUAUGCAUUUUGACAGGGCAUGGAACAAGAGUCUAUUAAUUGAGCAGCCUAACUGCUAACUAGAAAUAUAUUUUUUCAGAAAUUAUGAUGUCAUAGAAAAAAAAGAUUUCUUCCCGAACUUUUUUGGAGGAGGAAUGGAAAUUUAAUGCAGUGACAGCCAGCAUGAUGUAGUGGUCUCAGCAUCAGACUACAACUUUGAAGACGAGGAUUUCAUUCCCAGCUUGGCCAUGGAAACCCAUGAGGUUGACCUUGGAUUGAGCUAUGCAACUCAGCCAAAUCCAACCAAUGGGGUUCUAAUGCAACCAGGCUGUACCACUUAUUGAGAAGUUAUAUGAUGCUCCUCCUACAUGACCCUUCCAUCACAUAGAAGCUCCUUCAUAUGUAUACAUCAUGCUAGACGUGCUUAUAGUUCAAGCUAACAAGCAGAAAGCCUUAUUUGCUGCAUCCUUGCCACGUAUGUCUUGUGACAGAAACCUGUUCUAUGCUGCGCCAUCCACGUUAACUAUGAAAGUCUGUUGUUUCUGUAUCGACUUGACGCAAAAGAUGUUUGGAACACACAACAUGGGCUGCUUUCUUCAUUUGCAUAAUGUCUGAUGAAAUGACAUUGAGAAGAAAUGAAUUCUUCAUGUUUUUAGUCCUUGCAAUAGUUCUAACUGUGAUAGGUCUGAAUUCAAACCUCAACUUAUUUACAUUCAAUUCAUGAAUCUUAAAAAUAGGCCUCCCAUUACUUGUAAUUCCUUGCACAUAUUUAGAACUUGGCAAAGUUAUUUUUUGGACUAUUUUUUGAAUCUCUCGAAGAGCAGUUUAGGAAAGUAACCUUUCCAAGCACUGUUUGUUAUGAACACACUUGAUCUGCCUUGAUGCCUUUUUUCUUUGCUAUCAUUAUUGUCCUCCUUAAAUUUUCACACUUUGUCUAAAAGAUAUUAUAUCCCACCUUUCGGUAAGUAGCUGGGAUUCCCAGAACAUUUCUUUUAAGUUUUAAAAAUCACAAAGUUAGACUAACAGUACAGUAGCAACACAUAGGAUUUAACAAGAGGUGUUUCCUAGUACAGUAGAGUCUUACUGAUCCAAGCUAAACAGGCCGGCAGAACCUUGGAUAAGUGAAUAUCUUGGAUAAGAAGGAGGGAUUAAGGGAACACCUAUUAAACAUCAACGUAGGUUAUGCUUUUACAAAUUAAGCACUAAACUUCAUGUUAUACAACAAAUUUGACGGAAAAGGUAGUUCAAUACUCAGUAAUGUUAUGUUGUAAUUACUGUAUUUACGAAUUUAGCACCAAAAUAUCAUGAUAUAUUGAAAACAUUGACUACAAAAAUGCCUUGGAUAAUCCAGAACCUUGGAUAAGCGAGUCUUGGAUAAGUGAGACUCUAUCUAUAGAAAUUUGUUGGAGAUGCCAUAUUAGAACUGAUGUGAUGACACAGAUGGUUGUACACAAGGUAUCUAGGUCACAAUAACCAGAGAAUCUUGGCCAAAGCUAUGUUCUGGGAGUCAGAUGUACAAUAACCUCAUUCUCUGGGACCUUCAAAGAAUUCUUGGGAACUUCCAAGGAGUGUUAGUAUUGUUAUGCUAAAGCUUCUAGAACAUAGAUAGCCAGACAAUUCUUGGCUAUAUUCUGUACUUCUCCAGCCAAUACAUGAUGUGGAAAAACGGUGAGUAAAGGGGUUUGAGUUAAAUAAGCAUGUAAGAAUGUCCUUGAAAAUGACACAAUUUUCAAAGAUGUUCUCACAUCAAGAAAGAAAUUGAAUUAAUGAUUUGAUAUCCCCUGCAGGAAUAGAAUUAAAUCAAAAUUACAUCCUUAAUUAACACGCGUGUGUGGAAAUGCGUUGCAUUUUUUAAAAAGUGUUCAUUUCCUGUAUUUGGAAAUAUCAUUAGUUUAUUUUUAUUGGCUUCAGUGGAAGAUCUGGUAAUGGUUUCUGCUGACAGCAAUUUUUGUGUUAUUUAAAGUUUCAGAACAAGCAUUCAAAAAUCAUUUUGUAUGAUGUCAGAAUUUCAGGUGCAUAAGGAGAAACCUCCCAGUCCUGUGAGCUGCCCAUUGUUUUUAAGACUGUGAUGCAUUUCUCCUUCUUGCAACCCCUGUCUUGUUGAUACUAAUGGUAUAAAAUAUUCCAUUACAACUCCUCCAACAAUCAUACUUGACAUCCUAUAAGCUACAUUGGCACCAAGCUGGCAAAUAUCUGUAUAUUUUUAUUUUAUUUUAAAUAUGUACGUUGUAUUUUAUGUUUGUAUUGUCCGUGUUUGAUAAGGCCAACUGACUAAUCAAUACAUUGUUGUAUUGUAUAACACAAGAAUUGGACCUGGGGUGCUAAAAUACAUAACAAUUGUCCAUAGGAUGGAAUGUUACAAAUAGUAUAAGUUGUGACAUGAACCAUAAGGCAACAAUGUGCUAGAAUUCUAUCAUCUGAGCUUCCUGGUUAUUCUGACUGAGGAUGAUGGGAAUUUUGGUCUGACAGAUCUGGUGGAUGUCAGGAUGGGAAAGGUGGCCUUAUACCAAGCUAGAAACCCUUUCAGAAUAUUAAAAAGUCUGUACA